UUAAGUUCAGCGGGUAGUCCUACCUGAUUUGAGGUCAAACAUUCAACUGUUGUCUACGAAGAGACGAUUAGAAGCUGAACAAGACAGAGAGCAGCAGCCUCGGUGUAGAUAAUUAUCACACCAGUGACAGACCGCAAACGGUUCCGCUAAUGCAUUUCAGAGGAGCUGACCCAGCAAAUGAGGGCCAGCAGGAGCCUCCA
rnacentral:misc_RNA from 1 species